rnacentral:rRNA from 1 species
GACGAACGCUGGCGGCGUGCCUAAUACAUGCAAGUUGAGCGCUGAAGGCUGGUACUUGUACCAACUGGAUGAGCAGCGAACGGGUGAGUAACGCGUGGGGAAUCUGCCUUUGAGCGGGGGACAACAUUUGGAAACGAAUGCUAAUACCGCAUAAAAACUUUAAACACAAGUUUUAAGUUUGAAAGAUGCAAUUGCAUCACUCAAAGAUGAUCCCGCGUUGUAUUAGCUAGUUGGUGAGGUAAAGGCUCACCAAGGCGAUGAUACAUAGCCGACCUGAGAGGCGGAGCGGCCACGUUGGGACGGAGACACGGCCCAAACUCCUGCGGGAGGCAGCAGUAGGGAAUCUUCGGGAAUGGACGCAAGUCUGACCAAGCAACGCCGCGUGAGAGAAGAAGGCUGUCGGGUCGUAAAACUCUGUUGGUAGAGAAGAACGUUGGUGAGAGUGGAAAGCUCAGCAAGUGACGGUAACUACACAGAAAGGGACGGCUAACUACGUG